AGAAGCAAUGCGGGAGCCCAAUAGAUUGCCACGGGUGAGAGAAAUCCUUCACUAUAAGGAGUAGGAUCAGCAUGAAUGGGUAGAAGUUGCAAGGAGGAAGGUUUCUGAACCAACCUAAUAACCAUUUCAGAGUAGAAGCUUUCCAGAAUUGGAACUGGUCACUGAGAGAGGCUAAGCAAUCCUGGUUCCUGAAAGUGUUUAAGUGCAGACUGAUUACUAAAAGAAGAUUCAGGUGAUCCUAACAUGUAACUGCAGCUGAGUACCAUUUUGGGGGAUUAACCGUUCUCAAAUUCUAAUUUGAAUCAGAAUCAUGUAGGACUUAAGGAAAAUUCAAGUGUGGAGCUGGGGUGGAGGUGUGGGCAGAAUUCAGAAUCCUUAGUUUCAGCGAUGAAUCUACUUUUAAAAUGAGUAUCUCAAGUGCUUUUCUUUCUGUUAUUUGAGGAUUAUACUCUGAGAAACCUAUUUUAAACUUAAGACAUUAGUUGCUACAAGGGGAACAAGAAAAAAAAUUAAAAGUAAAAGGUUAGAAGAUAAAAUCUGUUGCAGCUGUAUUUUUUUAGGUUCUCAGUAACCUGCCUGCAUGCCCCUCUGUCAUAUUCUCUAGAAUUCCAAAUGCACUGCUAAAAUCAUCCUUCCAUUUCUUUCUUACAUGAUUUGUUUGCUUCUUGGUUUCUACUUUGCUGUCAUUAUUGGACCAAGAAUGAAAAAUAACUAAUGAACCCUGUGAGCAACAGCAGGGACUGUGAGAACCAGCUACAGGAGAGUGAACAGUCACUAAGGUCGGGAUCACAUCAGGACAGCCCUGGUUGUGUGUAUGCGUGCAUGUGAGGCCUGAGCAUCCCCACUCUCCAUGUCCACACUGUGACAACAGCACUGACUGACCAUGGCCUUCUUUCC
rnacentral:lncRNA from 1 species